rnacentral:rRNA from 1 species
GAUGAACGCUGGCGGCGUGCUUAACACAUGCAAGUCGAACGGAAAGGCCCAAGCUUGCUUGGGUACUCGAGUGGCGAACGGGUGAGUAACACGUGGGUGAUCUGCCCUGCACUUCGGGAUAAGCCUGGGAAACUGGGUCUAAUACCGGAUAGGACCACUUCUUGGAUGUUGUGGUGGACAGUGUUUUCGGUGUGGGAUGAGCUCGCGGCCUAUCAGCUUGUUGGUGGGGUAAUGGCCUACCAAGGCGUCGACGGGUAGCCGGCCUGAGAGGGUGUACGGCCACAUUGGGACUGAGAUACGGCCCAGACUCCUACGGGAGGGAGCAGUGGGGAAUAUUGCACAAUGGGCGCAAGCCUGAUGCAGCGACGCCGCGUGGGGGAUGACGGCCUUCGGGUUGUAAACUCCUUUCGCUAUGGACGAAGCGUUUUGUGACGGUACCUGGAGAAGAAGCACCGGCUAACUACGUG